CAGCAGCCGCGGUAAUACAGAGGGUGCGAGCGUUAAUCGGAUUUACUGGGCGUAAAGCGUGCGUAGGCGGCUUCUUAAGUCGGAUGUGAAAUCCCUGAGCUUAACUUAGGAAUUGCAUUCGAUACUGGGAAGCUAGAGUAUGGGAGAGGAUGGUAGAAUUCCAGGUGUAGCGGUGAAAUGCGUAGAGAUCUGGAGGAAUACCGAUGGCGAAGGCAGCCAUCUGGCCUAAUACUGACGCUGAGGUACGAAAGCAUGGGGAGCAAACAGGAUUAGAUACCCGAGUAGUCCAUGUCUUUUAUAC
rnacentral:rRNA from 1 species